GACGAACGCUGGCGGCGUGCUUAACACAUGCAAGUCGAACGAAGUGGCGAACGGGUGAGUAACGCGUAAUCAACCUGCCCUUCAGAGGGGGACAACAGUUGGAAACGACUGCUAAUACCGCAUACUGAAGGAGGGGAGUGCGUCGGAUUUGCUAGGUGGAGGGGUAACGGCCCACCAAGGCGAUGAUCAGUAGCCGGUCUGGGGGGGUGAGCGACCACAAUGGGAAUGGGGAACGGGCCAGACUCCUACGGGGAGCAGCCGUGGGGAAUCUUCCGCAAUGGACGGAAGUCUGGCGGAGCAACGCCGCGUGGGUGAUGACGGGUUUCGGGUUGUAAAGCUCUGUUAAUCGGGACGCGGUACCGGAAUAGAAAGCCACGGCUAACUACGUGCCAGCAGCCGCGGUAAUAC
rnacentral:rRNA from 1 species